rnacentral:rRNA from 1 species
UGGGGAAUAUUGCACAAUGGGGGGAACCCUGAUGCAGCGACGCCGCGUGAGCGAGGAAGUAUUUCGGUAUGUAAAGCUCUAUCAGCAGGGACGAAAAAAGACGGUACCUGACUAAGAAGCCCCGGCUAACUACGUGCCAGCAGCCGCGGUAAUACGUAGGGGGCAAGCGUUAUCCGGAUUUACUGGGUGUAAAGGGAGCGUAGACGGCAAGGCAAGCCAGAAGUGAAAGGGCAGGGCUCAACCCUGUACAUGCUUUUGGAACUGUGGUGCUAGAGUGCAGGAGAGGUAAGUGGAAUUCCUAGUGUAGCGGUGAAAUGCGUAGAUAUUAGGAGGAACACCAGUGGCGAAGGCGGCUUACUGGACUGUAACUGACGUUGAGGCUCGAAAGCGUGGGGAGCAAACAGG